rnacentral:rRNA from 1 species
UUGGGGAUAUUGCACAAUGGGGGAAACCCUGAUGCAGCGACGCCGCGUGAGGGAAGAAGGUUUCGGAUUGUAAACCUCUGUCCUCAGGGAAGAUAAUGACGGUACCUGAGGAGGAAGCCACGGCUAACUACGUGCCAGCAGCCGCGGUAAUACGUAGGUGGCAAGCGUUGUCCGGAAUUACUGGGUGUAAAGGGAGCGUAGGCGGUAUUGCAAGUUGAAUGUGAAAUCUAUCGGCUCAACUGAUAGGCUGCGUUCAAAACUGUAGUACUUGAGUGUUGGAGAGGCAGGCGGAAUUCCGUGUGUAGCGGUGAAAUGCGUAGAUAUACGGAGGAACACCAGUGGCGAAGGCGGCCUGCUGGACAAUAACUGACGCUGAGGCGCGAAAGCGUGGGGAGCAAACAGGAUUAGAUACCC